rnacentral:rRNA from 1 species
AUACGUAGGUGGCAAGCGUUGUCCGGAAUUACUGGGUGUAAAGGGCGUGUAGGCGGAGCGGCAAGUCAGAAGUGAAAUCUCCGGGCUUAACCCGGAAACUGCUUUUGAAACUGUCGCCCUUGAGUAUCGGAGAGGCAGGCGGAAUUCCUAGUGUAGCGGGGGAGGGCGUAGAUAUUAGGAGGAACACCAGUGGCGAAGGCGGCCUGCUGGACGACAACUGACGCUGAGGCGCGAAAGCGUGGGGAGCAAACAGGAUUAGAUACCCUGGUAGUCCACGCCGUAAACGAUGGAUACUAGGUGUGGGGGGACUGACCCCCUCCGUGCCGCAGUCAACACAAUAAGUAUCCCACCUGGGGAGUACGAUCGCAAGAUUGAAACUCAAAUGAAUUGACGGGG